GUCUAUGGUCAUAUCACCCUGAAUGCUUCUGAUCUCAUGUGAUCUUGGAAGCUAAGCAGGGUGAGACCUGGUUUGUAAUUGAAUGGGAGAAACGAAACACGCACACAACAUAUAUG
rnacentral:rRNA from 1 species